rnacentral:rRNA from 1 species
UUGAACGCUGGCGGAAUGCUUUACACAUGCAAGUCGAGCGGCAGCGCGGCCUUCGGGCUGGCGGCGAGCGGCGAACGGGUGAGUAACGCAUCGGAACAUGCCCAGUCGUGGGGGAUAACACUUCGAAAGAAGUGCUAAUACCGCAUACGUCCUGAGGGGGAAAGCGGGGGAUCGCAAGACCUCGCGCGAUUGGAGUGGCCGAUGUCAGAUUAGCUAGUUGGUGGGGUAAAGGCCUACCAAGGCGACGAUCUGUAGCUGGUCUGAGAGGAUGAUCAGCCACACUGGGACUGAGACACGGCCCAGACUCCUACGGGAGGCAGCAGUGGGGAAUUUUGGACAAUGGGGGCAACCCUGAUCCAGCCAUUCCGCGUGAGUGAAGAAGGCCUUCGGGUUGUAAAGCUCUUUCGGCAGGAACGAAACGGUGGGCUCUAACAUAGUCCGCUAAUGACGGUACCUGAAGAAGAAGCACCGGCUAACUACGUG